rnacentral:rRNA from 1 species
UUUGGAAACAUCAUCUAGUAAUCAUUAACGUUAUACGGGCCUGGCACCCUCUAUGGGUAAAUGGCCUCAUUUAAGAAGGACUUAAAUCGUUAAUUUCUCAUACUAGAAUAUUGACGCUCCAUACACUGCAUCUCACAUUUGCCAUAUAGACAAAGUGACUUAGUGCUGAACUGUUUUCUUUUCGCUCGCCGCUACUAAGA